UACGUAGGGACCAAGCGUUGUCCGGAUUUAUUGGGCGUAAAGAGCUCGUAGGCGGCCCUCCACGUCGGAUGUGAAAGCUCAGGGCUCAACCCUGAGAUGCCAUUCGAUACGGGAAGGCUAGAGGUAGGUAGGGGAAAGUGGAAUUCCUGGUGUAGCGGUGAAAUGCGCAGAUAUCAGGAGGAACACCGAUGGCGAAGGCAGGUCUCUGGGCCACUACUGACGCUGAGAAGCGAAAGCAUGGGGAGCGAACAGG
rnacentral:rRNA from 1 species